CGUUUCCAUGUAUGUUUGUAUGUGUAAUAUAUGUAAACACAUUAAUAUGCGUAUCCCUCUUGUUUUACUCCUCUCCGCAUAUAACAUGUAGCCGUUUGCGUGGGAGGCAGUGGUCCAGUAUAAUAAAACAAGAUGCAAACAUCUGACAUAAGACUUUCACCCCUGAGGGCCCUUCGAUUAUCAGGCUUGUAGACUACGAUCACGCGUUACGUUCGUAAUUCUUCUAUACCUAAUCUAUUAUCCAAUCCCUGUAUAAUUAUGUAACGAAAAUAAAAGACAGGGAAGUGGAAGCCGGUUGAACUUUGCGUUUCUGAAGCAGGCUAUAAGGCUAAGAGCUGCGGUCUUAGUACUGUUAAAAUAGACUCGUGGGAAUGGACUUGCAGGCGUAGACGCACCUCUCGAUCGUCGAAGAAAAUGCAAACACUGCAAUUCGUUACACUUAUAGAUCCAAUAAGAAAGAGAAAAUUGCAAUAGCCUGCAAGUCCGCCGAUUCACACUCUCCUUUAACGGCACCACGUGACAUCACGAUGUGU